UACGUAGGGGGCGAGCGUUGUCCGGAUUUAUUGGGCGUAAAGGGCGCGCAGGCGGUUUGUUAAGUCUGAUGUGAAAGCCCACGGCUCAACCGUGGAGGGUCAUUGGAAACUGGGAGACUUGAGUGCAGAAGAGGAAAGUGGAAUUCCAAGUGUAGCGGUGAAAUGCGUAGAGAUUUGGAGGAACACCAGUGGCGAAGGCGACUUUCUGGUCUGUAACUGACACUGAGGCGCGAAAGCGUGGGGAGCGAACAGG
rnacentral:rRNA from 1 species